rnacentral:lncRNA from 1 species
GCACCCGUUGGAGGCCCCAGCACUUAUGAAGUAUGGUGAAGUGGUUCGGGAUUUGGCUGCUCAGGCAGGUAAUUGCCAAUUCUAUGACACCCAGUUUCGCUAUUUGAAGCAUACCCAUGCCAACGAAAUGCCCUGGGGAUCCACCCAUUGGGAAUUAAGGAUCCGGGCACAGAAUUUUGCUAAGCCAAAACCAAAAUCGCAAAGUUUCAGUCAGCGUGGGCUAUUCGUACCUAAAGGGUUUUGCCGGAAGUUUCACCAGGGCCUUGGUUGCUCUGGCCAUGCAUUUUUAAGCAUACUUGUUUUAGGUGUACAGGUGGGAAGAAACAUCCUGCACACAGCUGUAAUUUUCGUCCCUCCAGUUCAACUUCCAAUUUUCGUCCCUCAGUUGCCACCGCCAUUUUUCAACCCCUCAGUGUCAAACGAGCAGCCUUGUCCCGAGCUCCCAACUCCGGUCCUAAUUGAACGAAUGCUACCCUAGUUAGGUGGAUAUGAUGUGCAUGUUGUUUCUUUGUUACAUAAUGGUUUUACCUGGGGUUUUCCCCUACAUUUUUCU